GUGAUAGUAAAUUUAAUAAUGUCAGCGAUUUGAAGGGUUUGAAUCCUAAACGUGAAGAAAUGUGCUUCACCCCUCCGCCCGCUGCCUUCCUCUCCACCACCCCCAGUCAUGUCGGGGAGCUCCGUGGCACAGAAGCCAAAACGCAUCGCUCAGAGCCCAUUGGUCCCACGUGCCAGGUCAUCUUUCUGAACAAAAGUCAAGUGUCCCAAUGCAGCCUGUGCCAGUGCUGGACAUGCACCCAACUGCUUGAAGAGCACAGUGGUAUUAAGAAGGAAGGAAGAGGAUACCGUGUAAUUUUGCAAUGAAACACCAAAUAUUCAUAGUCCAGGCACGUCCCAUUUUGGCUGUAUGGGCAGUUGGGUGCAGAGAGGAUCUGGAAUGGGAUGUGCUGUGGGUGCAUGGCCAAACAGCACCCCAUGGCACCCCAGCCAUGUCCACAACAUGCAG
ensembl:lncRNA